UAACUGAGAGGUGAAAAUGACCCGGCAGUAAUGGAUUGACUGUAGAGCAGGAGUGGAGGGGACUGCUGACAAAGACCCUCAGCUUCCUGCUUGUGCAGCAGGAGGACGGCGGUGCCUUUAGCUAGGAGAGAAUCCUGGAAGGCCACCAUGCUGGAGAAGGCCACAAUUCCAUGUGGACAGGGGGUGUGGGGCACCUUGGAGACACCCAGGAGAGAUGCUGAGCAGGCAGCUGAAAGAACAGCCUCGUGAUCCCUACGAGCUUCCUGGACAAGCAGCUGACUGGGGGAAAUGCUGCCAGAAGUUCCCAUUCCCCAAACUGGGUUACUUCUUCCUUAUGCAACCCUGUCCCUUCGGUUUCUGGCUAAAGGCCCCAUUCCUAGAACUCCUCAGAGGCAGCCCCUCUCUGGCCAGCCAUCUGGGCAGCCCCCUGCCUGCGGGGCCCACAGCAGGUGAACAGGGGGCCAUGGGCACUCUCCACAGAGAUAGCCUAACCCAACAGCAGCCGUGGGUCCUGUGCGGCUGCUGUGUGCAAGGCCCUCUUCUGGGUGCUGGGGUAUACUGACAGAUGAGCCAGAAGAAGAUCGCUGCUCAUGCGGGGCUUAGAUUCCGCUCCAGGACUUGCGGGCAAGUCCUGCCUGUGACAACGGGGCAUGGCCACCCAGGUGUUCUGAAAGACCUGGUCUGGCUGCAGUACUCCCUCCCCACCCUGGAUUACCAAGUGCCCAAUCCCAGCCGAAAUCCAUUCAACUGACUUGACACGAGGUCUUCCAAGGGCCUUGCUAUCAAGUCAAAUUAUCAGAGAGUGAGAACCAUGUUUAGCCCUACCCUGUGACACAUGGGGAAUGAGGCUUGGUUCUGAGUAGAGGGCCCUGGUCGCACAGACACAGAAA